CUGGCUGCCAGAUGCAGAGAAAGAGAGGAUCUGAAGAUCCAAAUAAAAACUAAUAUGAGCCACUCAGCCAACCUCCAAACUUUGCUGAUGCACUCCUGGCAGACCAAACAUGGGCAGAGAUUGAAGGAACAAGUGGGUGGUUCAGGAUGAAGUGGAAGUAUAAGAGUUUUAGCAACUGAAACAAAUGGCACAACUCUUUUCCUCUUAUUUGCUUAGAACUGCUUCAAAUACUUGGAGAAGAAGUUUUCCGCAUUUUAUGUUAUCUUAGGUAAGAACUUGUUCUAAAAGUUAAAUUCCACAAGUCUGUUUGUGUACAUACUU
rnacentral:lncRNA from 1 species